rnacentral:ribozyme from 1 species
CCUCUCACUUUACAUCUGCCCUCUAUCCCUCUCUUCUCCCCUCACAACACCCCACCGCAAUCAACUCCAGCAGCGGCAAAAGUGAAGGGAGGAUAGAU